rnacentral:rRNA from 1 species
UACGGGGGGGGCAAGCGUUGUUCGGAAUUACUGGGCGUAAAGGGCUCGUAGGCGGCCAACUAAGUCAGACGUGAAAUCCCUCGGCUUAACCGGGGAACUGCGUCUGAUACUGGAUGGCUUGAGGUUGGGAGAGGGAUGCGGAAUUCCAGGUGUAGCGGUGAAAUGCGUAGAUAUCUGGAGGAACACCGGUGGCGAAGGCGGCAUCCUGGACCGGUAUUGACGCUGAUGAGCGAAAGCUAGGGGAGCAAACGGG